rnacentral:rRNA from 1 species
AUCGGUGUCAAUGGCGCUGGGGCAACACCUGUUCUCAUUCCGAACACAGCAGUUAAGCCCAGUUGCGGCGAUUAUACUGGAAACGGGAAAGUAGCAAGAUGCCGAAU